GAAAGACUUCAGGAACCAAAAAAAGGACCUCGGUCGAAGCUGCAACGGGAGGCCAAGGAAGAACCCCUUCGAUAUUCUGGACUCAGUCCUCAGCGAUAGACCGGCAAAUAACGCCACCGGAGCCUUAAAUUCAGCGACGGCGAUGCUGGAGGCGAUGGCGCCGCAAUCAGAGCCUGAGUUGUUCACCAUCGGGGACGAGGACCUGAUGUCUCCACGCCACUGCAGCUCUCCUGCAUCAUCCAGCAGCUCAGGACAAUCGCCGCAGACCAGACCUGCUAAGAGGAAGUGAGACAGCAACACUGAGCUCCUGGAAUACCUUGAGCGGGUGGACGAGAGGUUCCUGCAGCACAGCAAGGAAAUGAACGAUGCCUUGCUGCACAAGCUGGAAGCAGACAACAGUGCGUUCCUCAGUAUGAUGGGGCGCAUGGUGUCUGUAAUGGAGGCGCAAGCCAGAAAAUAAUCACACCACUUUUCUUGUUUUGCACCUUUGCACUGUU